GACGAACGCUGGCGGCGUGCUUAACACAUGCCAGUCGAACGGAAAGGCCCUGCUUUUGUGGGGUGCUCGAGUGGCGAACGGGUGAGUAACACGUGAGUAACCUGCCCUUGACUUUGGGAUAACUUCAGGAAACUGGGGCUAAUACCGGAUAGGAGCUCCUGCUGCAUGGUGGGGGUUGGAAAGUUUCGGCGGUUGGGGAUGGACUCGCGGCUUAUCAGCUUGUUGGUGGGGUAGUGGCAUACCAAGGCUUUGACGGGUACCCGGCCUGAGAGGGUGACCGGCCACAAUGGGACUGAGAGACGGCCCAGACUCCUACGGGAGGCAGCAGUGGGGAAUAUUGCACAAUGGGCGGAAGCCUGAUGCAGCAACGCCGCGUGCGGGAUGACGGCCUUCGGGUUGUAAACCGCUUUCGCCUGUGACGAAGCGUGAGUGACGGUAAUGGGUAAAGAAGCACCGGCUAACUACGUG
rnacentral:rRNA from 1 species